AGCGUCGCAGUCGUGGGUGUUAUGGAUGAUGUGACAUUCGCACUUUCACGGAAACAUAAUUCCGUCCCCCCACUUUUUCCUGAGGUAGUCAUUGAUGAAAUGAAACUGAGUUUCCCAUACAUGAAAAACCUAUUGGUCAAGUUAGAUUAAUUGAACAGCCAUCCAGCCAAACACAGCCAUUUGACCAACCCACCAGGCCAGAGAAGAGUAAACAGUUAAAGUACAGUAAAGUUACGUUUGUGCAUUCAGCAACGGUGCUUCUGUUACUCGCUGCUGGUUGAUGAGAGAAUAACAGAUCAGAGCUUUGAGGAAGACUUCAGAUGAAGAGGAACAGCUUCUUCCCUGUGGCUGUUGGAGAGGAACUGACGCCUGCUGAUACAAAACCUCCUGGACAACUUUUGACAUGAAACACUGGCUGAGAAACAUCCUGAUUCUGACUCUCUGGCUAGAGUGUAAAGGACAAGACAGCGUGACCCAGCCAACAGGAGAUGUCAUUGUUGCUG